rnacentral:misc_RNA from 1 species
CAGCCGCGUAAUUCCAGCUCCAAUAGCGUAUAUUAAAGUUGUUGCAGUUAAAAAGCUCGUAGUUGAAUUUCGGGAUCAAUAUGUUGGUCGUGCCUUUGGUACGUACUAGCUUAUUGAUUUCUCCCUUCUGACGAACCAUGAUGUCAUUAAUUUGGUGUCAUGGGGAAUCAGGACUGUUACUUUGAAAAAAUUAGAGUGUUUAAAGCAGGCUUACGCUUGAAUAUAUUAGCAUGGAAUAAUGAAAUAGGACGUUUUGAUUCUAUUUUGUUGGUUUCUAGGAUCGACGUAAUGAUUAAUAGGGAUAGUUGGGGGCAUUAGUAUUCAAUUGUCAGAGGUGAAAUUCUUGGAUUUAUUGAAGACUAACUACUGCGAAAGCAUUUGCCAAGGAUGUUUUCAUUAAUCAAGAACGAAAGUUAGGGGAUCGAAGACGAUCAGAUACCGUCGUAGUCUUAACCAUAAACUAUGCCGACUAGGGAUCGGAUGAUGUUAAUUUUUUAAUGACUCAUUCGGCGCCUUACG